rnacentral:misc_RNA from 1 species
AACGCACAUUGCGCCCGCCGGCAUUCCGGCGGGCAUGCCUGUCCGAGCGUCAUUUCAACCCUCAGGGUCCCUCCGCCCAGCGCGGAGGGGCCCUGGUGUUGGGGAUCGGCCCGCCCCGCGCGGCGCCGUCCCCUAAAUUCAGUGGCGGUCCCGCCGCAGCCUCCCCUGCGCAGUAGUUACCAACUCGCACUGGAGCGCGGCGCGGCCACGCCGUAAAACCCCCGACUUCUGGAAAGUUGACCUCGGAUCAGGUAGGAAUACCCGCUGAACUUAA